UUUAGACAUGAUCAGACGAACGAAAUAGAUCACAAUGGACGGUUCAGAUUCAUUCACGCCAUCAGCUUAAACAGGAAAUCAUCGAACAGUCCUCCUUGCUCCACGUUGACACAAACGAACGUCGUGGAUCAAAGAGGAUAGGAGUAUUUAAACUUCUCUUCGCAUGAGAACCUAAUCCUAGCCCUAGCCCUAGCCCUAGCCACCCAGUCAUUGCCGGAGAAGAAGAACCAGACGGUGAAGAAGGAAGCCGAACCCCCGCUGAUACUGUACCGGAGCUAACAUCGACUGUCAAAGAAGGUAAAAUUUUCUCCUCCCCGCUCGGAAUUCAAUUACGAGUUUUCCUGUCGCCAUAUCGGAUCAAAAGGGACAGUGGGUGAGACGGAAACCGCAAGCAAAGCUCGUUGGAGCCACCGCGGCCAAAACCCUAAACUCUCUUCGAUGACCCCUUCCUGUUUUCUGUU
rnacentral:lncRNA from 1 species